UCGGCCCUGAGAUUGAUUGAAAGGGAAAAAGAAUAAGUUAUUUGUUCAUAACUCAAUAACUUGGUUUAUUGGAAAUUUAUAUUCAUUGCAUUUAGCCACAAAAUAAAACUUAUGCACCAUUGCAUAAGAUAUCUCCACAAUAAUAUAGAAAGGGCAUUAUAUUUGUAUUAACAAUGUAAUGUUUAAUUCGUUUUAUGGGUCCAUUUGCAAUGUAAGGACAUAAUACCUUGUAUACAUGACCAAAGCCACCUUGCCCCAAUUUGUUACCAACUGAAAAGUUAUUUGUAGCUUCCUUUAUAUGCGAGUAAUCAUACUGUGAAAAUCCCAAGUUGCUGCCUUCCAUCUUCCAUAAACUUAUCACACUUUGUAUUGCCAAAGACAUUUGUCGUAAUUUUAAUAUUGAAUGCUCUGAAAUUUUUUUUGAAAUUUUAUGCUGCCGAUAUUUGUCAGGGAACAAUAACUAAUGGCACAAAUUUUGGUCUGCUGUUAUGUUAAUUCAUACCUCUCUGUUGCUGUGUUUUGAUCCAUACAUGAUAAAACAAGCAUGAAAUGAAUAUUACCAUUAGGAAUCCUCCAAUUCCAACCAAGGCAAUCAGUGUUUCUGCAAGGGAGAUCAGGUUGGAUUUAAUCUGUAGGUGUUGUUUGGCAUGUACCUGGCACCAUUGUAAUUACUGCAGAAGGUCUGGCCAGCUAAUAUUGCUGGGUAAGAGAGGAAGAGGAAGAGGAAGAGGAAGAGAUAAUAGUAGCGUUAUGAUGGCCUUUAUUCUAUCUAUAUUGCAGAAUUGCCUGCCAAGAAGUCUAAUGAGUGCCAAAUAUCAUAUUUGCUUCAUUUACCAAGAGUGAUUGAUAGAUGGUGACAUGCCCAUAUUUUCCACAGAGAGCUAUUUCGUGGGUUGGAAAUCUGAGGAGUAAGCUGGUUGCUUUGGUUCUGGCAAAGUGAUGCCAUCGCUGCUAAGAAUUGCAACAACAUCAGCCAUUGUGGGACGAUCUAUUGUUUUUUCUUGAACACACAUCAAUGCCACGGCAAGACACUUAGGAGCCAGAAAAACAACCGUGUAGAGAGGACUGCGGAAGAGUAAACUGCUGCAAUGAUGAAGAAUGCACGGUCUUUCUUUUGUCCUGAAAAUGAUACAUGAAACGAUCAAUAAUGGGGCUUAACAAUUUCUCAAGAAUUUUGGAGCGCCAAGAUGCUCCUCAGAUUAAGCUGAAUUUUCGGAGUUUGAGAAAUAACUCAUCUUGGUAACAAGCAUGAGAAAUUCACAACAUUCAGGUCCAUCUCGUACCGCAAGUUGCACCGCGCCCCGAAGACCGCCCCACCCAUCUUGCCGCCGCCGAUCAUCCUCCGCCUUUCUUCGACGCCACCAAGGCAGGCCCGGCAGCGGUCAGGCGGCAUGUCCCGCGUGCACUGCGCCAGCCCGUACACCGCCCGGUCCGUCUCCCCCGACGACAACGACGGCCACGGCGCUUCGCCCACCGCCCACCUGUCCGGCCGCCUGGC